GUUUGAUUCAGGCUCAGGACGAACGCUGGCGGCGUGCUUAACACAUGCAAGUCGAACGAUGAACCGCUUUCGGGCGGGGAUUAGUGGCGAACGGGUGAGUAACACGUGGGCAAUCUGCCCUGCACUCUGGGACAAGCCCUGGAAACGGGGUCUAAUACCGGAUAUGACUGUCCAUCGCAUGGUGGAUGGUGUAAAGCUCCGGCGGUGCAGGAUGAGCCCGCGGCCUAUCAGCUUGUUGGUGAGGUAGUGGCUCACCAAGGCGACGACGGGUAGCCGGCCUGAGAGGGCGACCGGCCACACUGGGACUGAGACACGGCCCAGACUCCUACGGGAGGCAGCAGUGGGGAAUAUUGCACAAUGGGCGAAAGCCUGAUGCAGCGACGCCGCGUGAGGGAUGACGGCCUUCGGGUUGUAAACCUCUUUCAGCAGGGAAGAAGCGAAAGUGACGGUACCUGCAGAAGA
rnacentral:rRNA from 1 species